rnacentral:rRNA from 1 species
AGGGUCCACGGAGGAUGCCUUGGAGCUGUCAGGCGAAGAAGGACGUGAUUAGCUGCGAAAAGCUAGGGGGAGGAGCCAAUAUCCAACGAUCCCUAGAUAUCCGAAUGGGGUAACCCACUAGUAUAGAUUACUAGUAUCCAUACACGAACACAUACUGUAUGGAAGGCACACGCAGGGAACUGAACCAUCUAAGUACCUGUAGGAAAAGACAUCAAAAGAGAUUCCCUUAGUAGCGGCGAGCGAACGGGGAAGAGCCUAAACUUAUUGCGUGUAAGCGUCGAUGCGUUGCGUAAUGAGGGUUGCAAGAAUAGUUUAGAGGAGUAUCGACACUCUUCGCACAGUCAAAAUGGUCUAUUGAGUAGAAUAAUCUGGGAAGGUUAGUCAAAGAGAGUGAAAGCCUCGUAUACGAAGGUAGACCACUGUGUGAAAUUAUUUCUUAAGUACGGCGGGACACGAGAAAUCCUGUUGGAAUCUGGGGGGACCACCCUCCAAGGCUAAAUACUCGACAGCUACCGAUAGCGCAUAGUACCGUGAGGGAAAGGUGAAAAGAACCCCGGGAGGGGAGUGAAAGAGAACCUGAAACCGUGGACUUACAAGCGGUCAAAGCCUGAAUUUAUUUGGGUGAUGGCGUGCCUUUUGUAGAAUGAGCCUGCGAGUUACCGUACGUAGCAAGGUAAGGGAUAGAAGUCCCGGAGCCGUAGGGAAACCGAGUCUGAAUAGGGCGAUUAGUUGCGUGUGGUAGACCCGAAGCCAAGUGAUCUAUCCAUGUCCAGGUUGAAACUUGAGUAAAAUCAAGUGGAGGACCGAACCUAAAUCCGCUGAAAAGGGUUGGGAUGAGAUGUGGAUCGGAGUGAAAGGCUAAACAAACUUGGAGAUAGCUGGCACUCCCCGAAAUAGCUUUAGGGCUAGCCUCGUGGUGAUUGUUGCGGAGGUAGAGCACUGAAUGGAUGAGGGCCCUUCACCGGGUACCAAGUUCAAUCAAACUCCGAAUGCCGUAACACAAUACACGGGAGUCAGACUGCGGCUGAUAAGGGCCGUGGUCAAAAGGGAAACAGCCCAGACCGUCGCUAAGGUCCCCAAGAUACGCCAAGUGGGAAAGGAAGUUCGAUUGCGAAGACAGCCAGGAGGUUGGCUUAGAAGCAGCCACUCCUUAAAAGAGUGCGUAAUAGCUCACUGGUCGAGUAGUCGAGCGCCGAUAAUGUAACGGGGCUAAGCGUAUCACCGAAGCCACGGCACAGUAUUUGAUACUGUGGGUAGGGGAGCAUUCCGUAUACGGAUGAAGGUGUGGCGGGAGCAUGCUGGACGGCACGGAAGAGAGAAUGCAGGCAUGAGUAACGAAAAGACGGGUGAGAUCCCCGUCCGCCGAAAGCCUAAGGUUUCCAGGGUAAAGGUAAUCUUCCCAAGGGUUAGUCGGCCCCUAAGGCGAGGCUGAAAAGCGUAGUCGAUGGGAAACUGGUUAAUAUUCCAGUACCUCUCUGUGUUUCGAUGGAACGAAGCAUAGGGCGAAGCGCGGCCGGGCGACGGUAGUCCCGGUCUAAGUAGUAAGUUUAUGAUUACUCUAGGCAAAUCCGGAGUAAGAGACGAGCUGCGAAUGCGAGCGAUGCUACGGCAAAGCGAAGCGCGUGGAGUCGUCGUGCCAAGAAAUAGUUUCUAAGGUAUGACACAGAGGGACCGUACCGCAAACCGACACAGGUAGGCGAGCUGAAUAUGCUCAGGCGCACGGAAGAAUUCGCGUUAAGGAACUCGGCAAAAUACAUACGUAACUUCGGGAGAAGUAUGGCCACUGGGGGAGCAAUUUCUUGGUGGUUGCAGAGAAUAGGCCCAAUCGACUGUUUACCAAAACACAGGUCUAUGCAAACCAGUGAUGGGAAGUAUAUGGACUGACACCUGCCCGGUGCUGGAAGGUUAAGAGGAGUUGUUAGCGCAAGCGAAGCAGUGAAUUGAAGCCCCAGUAAACGGCGGCCGUAACUAUAACGGUCCUAAGGUAGCGAAAUUCCUUGUCGGGUAAGUUCCGACCCGCACGAAUGGUGUAACGAAUUGGGCGCUGUCUCAACGCGAAAUCCGGUGAAAUUGAAGUACCGGUGAAGAUGCCGGUUACUUGUGGUUAGACGGAAAGACCCCGUGAACCUUUACUUUAGCUUAGCAGUGAAACUUGGAUAAGGAUGUGUAGGAUAGGUGGGAAGCGUUGAAGCGUGGCCGUUAGGUUGCGUGGAGCUGUUGGUGAAAUACCACCCUUUCUUGUUCAAUUUUCUAACAGUGCCCAUGAAGCUGGGUAUUGGACAUUGCUUGGUGGGAAGUUUGACUGGGGCGGUCGCCUCCUAAAGAGUAACGGAGGCGCGCGAUGGUCACCUUAAGACGGUUGGGAAUCGUCUGUCAAGUGUAAAGGCACAAGGUGGCUUGACUGCAAGACUUACAAGUCGAGCAGGUACGAAAGUAGGUCUUAGUGAUCUGGCGGUAGCGAGUGGAAGCGCCGUCACUUAACGGAUAAAAGGUACUCCGGGGAUAACAGGCUGAUUUUGCCCAAGAGUUCAUAUCGACGGCAAAGUUUGGCACCUCGAUGUCGGCUCAUCGCAUCCUGGGGCUGGAGCAGGUCCCAAGGGUUUGGCUGUUCGCCAAUUAAAGCGGUACGCGAGCUGGGUUCAGAACGUCGUGAGACAGUUCGGUCCCUAUCUGCCACAAGCGUUGGAUGUUUGAGGGGUUCUGCUUCUAGUACGAGAGGACCGAUGUGGACAAACCUCUGGUCUACCAGUUGUCGUGCCAACGGCAUUCGCUGGGUAGCUACGUUUGGAAAGGAUAACCGCUGAAAGCAUCUAAGUGGGAAACCUACCUCAAGAUGAGACAUCCCUAGCACUUUAAGUGCUCUAAAGGAACCAGGGACAAUACCUGGUCGAUAGGCUGGAGGUCUAAGCAUGGUAACAUGUUAAGCCGACCAGUACUAAUCAGCCGUGAGGCUUGACC